GGCUGGAGAUGCCAGGAAGAGUUUAAUGUUAGGGUCUAUUACAGUGAAUAUAUCCAAAUAGACAAAUAUGUAUAAAUUAGUUACCAUGUGCCAAGCAAUAUGAUAGAUCAUCUCUCCAUUUGUUGAUGCUGAAACCAGGUUCAGAGGGCAGAUGUGACUUGUUCAAGACAUGAAGCCAUCUAGUGACCAAGCUAAGGCUGAGUCAAACUUGUGCUGACUUCCCAGCAUGCUCGUCACCAUGUAUCCUGGCUCUUUCUCCUACAAUGCACUUAAACUUUCUGCACAUCUGCCACACAGUUGUGGGCAUAACAUCUAAUGUUCAGUGGUGUCCUGAUGAAAUCAAAUUGGGUUAAAUGAAGCUUAAGUGCCUGCCCCUGAAAGAUCCUCAACCUAAGAAUAAAUGCUUCUGGCAGAGCUCUCGCCCGCAAAAUUCCCUCUACUAAUCUUUAAGAAGAAUCGAGAUGGUGAAGGCAAGGCUGAAGUCAUCUGAUCAUAUUGUUCGCUCCUUCAGAUGAAAAGCCUCUGAGAAACUAGCACUUUGCCCAAAGUUUUGGAAUGUACAACCCCUUGGAAAUCAUUGUUUUCAUUAGUAAGC